rnacentral:rRNA from 1 species
GAUGAACGCUGGCGGCGCGCCUAACACAUGCAAGUCGAACGAUUAAAGCCCCUUCGGGUGUGUAUAAAGUGGCGAACGGCUGAGUAACACGUGGGCAACCUGCCCCUCUCAUUGGGAUAGCCCCGGGAAACCGUGGAUAAUACCGAAUACUUCGGGACUUCCGCAUGGAAGACUCGAGAAAGCUCCGGCGGAGAGGGAUGGGCCCGCGGCCUGUUAGCUUGUUGGUGGGGUAAUGGCCUACCAAGGCAAUGAUGGGUAGCUGGGUUGAGAGACCGACCAGCCAGAUUGGGACUGAGACACGGCCCAGACUCCUACGGGAGGCAGCAGUGGGGAGUAUUGCACAAUGGGCGAAAGCCUGAUGCAGCGACGCCGCGUGCGGGAUGAAGGCCUUCGGGUUGUAAACCGCUUUCAGCAGGGACGAGGCGAAAGUGACGGUACCGGCAGAAGAAGCCCCGGCUAACUACGUG